UACGUAGGGUGCAAGCGUUGUCCGGAAUUAUUGGGCGUAAAGAGCUUGUAGGCGGUUUGUCGCGUCUGCUGUGAAAUUUCGGGGCUCAACCCCGAACUUGCAGUGGGUACGGGCAGACUAGAGUGUGGUAGGGGAGACUGGAAUUCCUGGUGUAGCGGUGAAAUGCGCAGAUAUCAGGAGGAACACCGAUGGCGAAGGCGGGUCUCUGGGCCAUAACUGACGCUGAGAAGCGAAAGCAUGGGGAGCGAACAGG
rnacentral:rRNA from 1 species